ensembl:antisense predicted gene 12224
GGGCUUUGUUUCUUUCUCCUUUGCAGAAAGGCCACUGGGCUGAUAGUGUCCUCUUAGCAAGUAAGCUUGCCUGCAGCUGCUAAGACAGCAGUGCCCAUAAAAGUAAAAAUAAGCAUCACCAUGUCAUCCAGAAUGGCUUUCUUCAAUUCCUGAAUUGAACCAUGUCCAGUAGUUGAGUUCCUCUGCAUCGACCAGCUUGAUGUGGUUGCAGGGCAGAGGUGCCCCUACAUGCCCUAGGACACCAGAACAAGAGUGAAAGGCUUGGGCCUCUGGCAUCUUCCUCUGAACCCGGCUGCCCAGCACACAUCCCACCACCCCCAAGGAAGGCCCGGGAUGAUGAUACCUGGCACCCCAGAGCUGCUCGGAGGAAUCCCAGAACCGUUGGUGACGCGGGGGCUGCUCCAGUGACAAUCAUCCUCACAUGCCCACCAAGACUGGCCUGUGGGAAGAAAGAAGUGGCCAAUGAUGGUGACACACGAGAUGGUCUUCAUUUAUGGUCUGCUUUCAACAGCUGGACCCUGGGUGCUGGAAGAGAGCCACGUGCUGAGGAAGCCGCUUCUCUUUUGU